rnacentral:rRNA from 1 species
GACGAACGCUGGCGGCGUGCCUAAUACAUGCGAGUUGAGCGAUGAAGAUUGGUGCUUGCACCAAUUUGAAGAGCAGCGAACGGGUGAGUAACGCGUGGGGAAUCUGCCUUUGAGCGGGGGACAACAUUUGGAAACGAAUGCUAAUACCGCAUAACAACUUUAAACAUAAGUUUUAAGUUUGAAAGAUGCAACUGCAUCACUCAAAGAUGAUCCCGCGUUGUAUUAGCUAGUUGGUGAGGUAAAGGCUCACCAAGGCGAUGAUACAUAGCCGACCUGAGAGGGUGAUCGGCCACAUUGGGACUGAGACACGGCCCAAACUCCUACGGGAGGCAGCAGUAGGGAAUCUUCGGCAAUGGACGAAAGUCUGACCGAGCAACGCCGCGUGAGUGAAGAAGGGUUUCGGAUCGUAAAACUCGGUUGGUAGAGAAGAACGUUGGUGAGAGUGGAAAGCUCAUCAAGUGACGGUAACUACCCAGAAAGGGACGGCUAACUACGUG